rnacentral:rRNA from 1 species
UAGGGAAUCUUCCACAAUGGACGAAAGUCUGAUGGAGCAACGCCGCGUGUGUGAUGAAGGGUUUCGGCUCGUAAAACACUGUUGUAAGAGAAGAAUGACACUGAGAGUAACUGUUCAGUGUGUGACGGUAUCCAACCAGAAAGCCACGGCCAACUACGUGCCAGCAGCCGCGGUAAUACGUAGGUGGCAAGCGUUGUCCGGAUUUAUUGGGCGUAAAGAGAGCGCAGGCGGUUUAUUAAGUCUGAUGUGAAAGCCCCCGGCUUAACCGGGGAAGUGCAUCGGAAACUGGUAGACUUGAGUGCAGAAGAGGGUAGUGGAACUCCAUGUGUAGCGGUGGAAUGCGUAGAUAUAUGGAAGAACACCAGUGGCGAAGGCGGCUACCUGGUCUGUAACUGACGCUGAGGCUCGAAAGCAUGGGGAGCGAACA